GAUGAACGCUGGCGGCGUGCCUAAUACAUGCAAGUCGAGCGAACAGACGAGGAGCUUGCUCCUCUGACGUUAGCGGCGGACGGGUGAGUAACACGUGGAUAACCUACCUAUAAGACUGGGAUAACUUCGGGAAACCGGAGCUAAUACCGGAUAAUAUAUUGAACCGCAUGGUUCAAUAGUGAAAGACGGUUUUGCUGUCACUUAUAGAUGGAUCCGCGUCGCAUUAGCUAGUUGGUAAGGUAACGGCUUACCAAGGCGACGAUGCGUAGCCGACCUGGGAGGGUGAUCGGCCACACUGGAACUGAGACACGGUCCAGACUCCUACGGGAGGCAGCAGUAGGGAAUCUUCCGCAAUGGGCGAAAUCCUGACGGAGCAACGCCGCGGGAGUAAUGAAGGUCUUCGGAUCGUAAAACUCUGUUAUUAGGGAAGAACAAAUGUGUAAGUAACUAUGCACGUCUUGACGGUACCUAAUCAGAAAGCCACGGCUAACUACGUG
rnacentral:rRNA from 1 species